AGAAUGACAGAAGGGGAAGAAAUCACCCUUCUACCAUCGCGAGCUGAAGCGCAGACUCGCCGUUGCGAGCUCAGCUUGCGAGAUUCCUAUGGCAAUCAGGGUUUCUCAGUCCUCAAUUAGAAUAUUUGAGGAUUGAUUAAAGGCAUAUCCUUGGGAAAGAAGAGAAAGUCGAAGGCCACUAGCCUCGACGAUAGUGGAGCGAGUCAUGUACACCUCCUUAUGCAGCCCUACUAAUUCCCUCUUUUAGCUUUACAUUCAGAACGUGAAGAACCAAAAGCUCAUUCCAAGCCGGUGAACGGACGCCCUUCUGGACCUGCAUUGGCACUAUGGGUCCACUCACUUCCUUAAAGAUACAGAAACUAAAGCAGCUUUUGGAAAUCCUACGUAAAAAAGCCAAUGCUAUUGGUUGGACCAAGCCUUGGUGCUGUUGUUGCAAUUGAAUUUGCAGUCAACCAUCCAGAACCUGGACUGAAGAAGAUAAUUAGAUAGAGGAACCUUCAGAGCCUAACAGAUAUGCUGUCAUUGCCAAAGACAUAUUUAUCAUUUAUUUAAUUUGAUGCCCUCUUUACAGUGACUACAUUUAAAAACAAAACUAGCCCAUUUAAAAACUUUUUUGUA